CACACACACACACACACACACACACAUAUAUAUAAAAUAAAAUUACAGACCAAUAAAAUGUAAGUUAACAUUAAUGUGAUGAGUGAUGUUUAACUUUGGGUAAAUUGCUUUUUCCAGUUAGGCUCUGAGUUUGAUGUGUUCCAAUGACUAAGUGGUAAUUCAGUGAUCUUGUCACCUUUCUCUGUUGGAAUCACUAAAAAUUUUGACGUGUUCAGCAUUCACUGGGCCCAGAUUCUUCUCUUCUUUUUUUCAUUUGCCUGUGACAAUGAUAGCACCCCUACGUGGCAAAGCAGGGUGGCACCACAGACCAAGGGUUAGCACGGACACUGGGUGGAAACAGGAAAUUUCCUGAGGUGGUUCCAGGCAUGCUUUUAUUAAGAGCAUUGAAUAAACAUAAAAUGGGGAAAAUCUUGCCAUGAAGAACUCUUGGGUUCCCAAGAAUACACCUUUGCACGCAGUUUGAAAAAUACAGUGCGAGCUGGGCCUUAGGGUGCUAUGAGGGCAGACGGGCUGGGUGUGCUGCCACACUAGGGGAUGAGGCAGGGAAGGCUUCUGGAAUGAAAAGGGAUGAGGGACGAGAACUGUCAAACCAAGGUCUCUUUUAAACUGUGCUUAUUUAUGGCUUGCUGUUUGAUUUGGUGCUUUUUCCUUUAAUCAUUUGGUGCCAGGUUUUCCUAUCAGUCCUUUCAUGUCCUAUAUGGUUGGCCAACACCUACAAGGGGGAGGUUGGUCACCUAAGUAAUCUCAUAUUGGUGAAAAAGCCAAGGUAUCUGAAAGGGGUUUUGUAAGAAAAAUUUUAGGAUCGGACUAUACCAGGAAACAGCUUCCUGCCUAGCUAUAGGUUGUUAAUUUGUCUGAAUAUUUUCAAACCAGGAUGCUUUUGGUGUGUUGGAUAGGCUUUUGAGUAGGGAGAGAUACUAUCUUGAAUUGUGCUAAUAAUUUAACUCAACAGCAUCUAACAAAGGCAGUCUUAUUCUUGGAUCAUGUGUACAGAUCAUAGUCUGAAGUGGAAUAAGCAGAAUGUUGUUCUCAGUGUGAGAUGUUAUUUAGAACACACUGGAAACAUUGUGAUGUCAUUGUGCACUGAGGCAGGGAAAUGUUAGUCUACAUUUUAUGGAAUAUGUACUUCAGUGUUUGCAUUGUACCUGGAGUGAUAAAAAGCAAAACAGGUGAGAACACCUUAUAUGAAGAAUGCCUGUGACUUUGGUACAUCGGAAUCUGAUACCCUUGAAAGGGGUCUAGGAGACACCUGUUUCUGAGUAGAUUCCAUUGCAUACAAUUCAUAGACUCUCAGAGUUGGAAGAGACAAUAUGAGUCGUCUGGUUCACCAGGUGUUUGGUUACAUUUUUGGUUAGAUCCCAUAUGAAUCCUUAAAGGUUGUGGAGUGAGUUUGACGAACAAUCCUUAUUAUUUUGCAUGACCCUUCAUGGCCUAAAAAUAAUUCUGUGUUUUACCAAACUAAGUAAAAUGUUGACUAUACAAAAGAAAAAGGUUUUUUUCCCUUGGGUCAUUUGGGUUUUGAGAUGUUCUAUUUGAAACAUUUUCCUUACAAUUUGUUACCUGUUAAGAAAAUUGCUUAUUUAAAUAUCUGUUGAAUGCUACUUAAUAAAUGUAACUUUCAAAAUGUGA